GGGCCCGCACAAGCGGUGGAGCAUGUGGUUUAAUUCGAUGAUACGCGAGGAACCUUACCAGGGCUUAAAUGGGAGAUGACAGGGGCAGAGACGCCCUUUUCUUCGGACAUCUUUCAAGGUGCUGCAUGGUUGUCGUCAGCUCGUGCCGUGAGGUGUCAGGUUAAGUCCUAUAACGAGCGCAACCCCUACCGUUAGUUGCCAGCGAUUCAAGUCGGGGACUCUAACGGGACUGCCGGUGCAAACCGUGAGGAAGGUGGGGACGACGUCAAAUCAUCACGGCCCUUACGUCCUGGGCUACACACGUGCUACAAUGGUCGGUACAGAGGGAAGCUACCCCGUAAGGGGAUGCGGAUCUAUAAAACCGGUCACAGUUCGGAUCGGAGUCUGCAACUCGACUCCGUG
rnacentral:rRNA from 1 species